CUGGCGGCGUGCUUAACACAUGCAAGUCGAACGCGAAAGGGACUUCGGUCCUGAGUAAAGUGGCGCACGGGUGAGUAACGCGUAGAUAACCUGUCUUCAUGUCUGGAAUAAUACGCCGAAAGGGGUACUAAUACCGGAUAUUCCUGCUUUUCAUAAGUUAUGCAAGCAAAGGUGGCCUCUGCAUAUGCUACUGCAUGAAGAGGGGUCUGCGUACCAUUAGCUAGUAGGUGGGGUAAUGGCCUACCUAGGCGACGAUGGUUAGCGGGUCUGAGAGGAUGAUCCGCCACACUGGCACUGGAACACGGGCCAGACUCCUACGGGAGGCAGCAGUGAGGAAUAUUGCGCAAUGGGGGAAACCCUGACGCAGCGACGCCGCGUGAGUGAGGAAGGCCUUCGGGUCGUAAAGCUCUGUCAAGAGGAAAGAAGUGUACAAUGGCUAAUACCUGUUGUAUUUGACGGUACCUCUAAAGGAAGCACCGGCUAACUCCGUGCCAGCAGCUGC
rnacentral:rRNA from 1 species